ACGGGGGGUGCAAGCGUUAUUCGGAAUUAUUGGGCGUAAAGGGCGCGUAGGCGGCUUAUCAGGUCAGAUGUGAAAGCCCGGGGCUUAACCCCGGAAGUGCAUUUGAAACCGGUAGGCUUGAGUAUGGGAGAGGAAAGUGGAAUUCCUGGUGUAGAGGUGAAAUUCGUAGAUAUCAGGAGGAACAUCAGUGGCGAAGGCGACUUUCUGGACCAAUACUGACGCUGAGGCGCGAAGGCGUGGGUAGCAAACAGGAUUAGAUACCCUGGUAGUCCACGCAGUAAACGUUGUUCACUAGGUGUAGCGGGUAUUGACCCCUGCUGUGCCGCAGCUAACGCAUUAAGUGAACCGCCUGGGAAGUACGAUCGCAAGAUUA
rnacentral:rRNA from 1 species